AUGUCCUUGAAAGCAGCCAGCUCAUUUGGUUUAUGGAGUCUCAGUAAAGUUUCAACAGUAACAAUCUGCAAGACAAGCUUCGGUAUACUGAACCCAGAGAGCAUUACAACAUUGGAUGCUGAUGCUUCAUCAGCAGAAGCACUGCCGUCUAGAGCUUUGGCAACCUGAGUAUACAGGAAUGAUUUCCUUUCUCUCUCUGACGAUAAGAUAGACCCAAGGGCAACAGAACUUUCUACCAGUGCCUGUAGGACCGCAGAUGGUUCAGGAAAUGGGCAGACCACAUAA
rnacentral:rRNA from 1 species